CCUACGGGUGGCAGCAGUGAGGAAUAUUGGUCAAUGGGCGCGAGCCUGAACCAGCCAAGCCGCGUGAGGGAAGACGGUCCUAUGGAUUGUAAACCUCUUUUGUCGGGGAGCAAAAGACGCCACGCGUGGCGUUCCGCGCGUCCCCGUAGAACAAGCAUCGGCUAACUCCGUGCCAGGAGCCGUGGUAAUACGGAGGAUUCAAGCGUUAUCCGGGUUUAUGGGGUUUAAAGGGUGCGUAGGUGGUCGGAUAAGUUCGAGGGGAAAUCCCGAGGUGUAACUUCGGGAUUGCCGUUGAUACUGUUGGGCUAGAGAGUAGGUGCGGUAGGCGGAAUGUAUGGUGGAGCGGGGAAAUG
rnacentral:rRNA from 1 species